rnacentral:rRNA from 1 species
GAUGAACGCUAGCGGCAGGCCUAAUACAUGCAAGUCGAGGGGUAGAAGAGAGCCUGCUUUCUUUGAGACCGGCGCACGGGUGCGUAACGCGUAUGCAACCUACCUUGAUCAGGGGGAUAGCCCGAAGAAAUUCGGAUUAACACCGCAUAAGAACACAGAGUGGCAUCACUUAGUGUUUAAAUAUUUUAGGAUCAAGAUGGGCAUGCGUGACAUUAGCUAGUUGGUGAGGUAACGGCUCACCAAGGCGACGAUGUCUAGGGGAUCUGAGAGGAUGACCCCCCACACUGGUACUGAGACACGGACCAGACUCCUACGGGAGGCAGCAGUAAGGAAUAUUGGUCAAUGGAGGCAACUCUGAACCAGCCAUGCCGCGUGCAGGAAGACGGCCCUAUGGGUUGUAAACUGCUUUUAUACGGGAAUAAACCCCGCUACGUGUAGCGGGUUGAAUGUACUGUAAGAAUAAGGAUCGGCUAACUCCGUGCCAGCAGCCGCAGUAAAAC